AACUUUCCCACAUUUUCCAGUCUUCUUCUGAGCCAUCCAAACUGUUCCAACCUCUUCCUGUUACCAAGUUCCAAAUUUGCUUCUACAUUUUUGGGUACCUUUUUAGCAAUGCCCCACUCUACCAGCAGCAAUUCACUGUAUUAGUCCAUUUUCAUUCUGCUAAUAAAAACAUACUCAAGACUGGGCUAUUUACAAAAGACAGAGUCUUAAUAUUGCUUUUGCUGUAUCCCUGAUCAUAGGUUUAGGAUGUUGUGUUUCCAUUAUCAUCUGUUUCAAGACAUUUUUUAGUUUCUUUCUUGAUUUCUUUAUUGAUUCACUGGACAUUCAGGAAUGCAUUGGUUUAUAUCCAUGUAUUUGUACAGUUUCCAAAAUUCCUCUUGUUAUCAAUUUCUAAUUUUAUUUCAUUGUGAGUUUUAAACCUUGUUUUGUGACCUAACAUAUGGCCUGUUUUUUGAGAAUAAUUCAUGUGCUGAGAAAAAAUGUGUAUUCUGCAGCCACUGAAUGAAAUGUUCUGUAAAUAUCUAUUAGACCCAUUUGGUCUUUAGUGAAGACUGAGUAUGACGUUUCUUUGUUGAUUUUGUAUCUGGAAGAUCUGUUCAAUGCUGAAAGUGGAGUGUUGAAAUCUCCAGCUAUUAUUGUAUUGGGGCCCAUCUCUCUUUAGCUCUAAUAAUAUUUUCUUUAUACAUAUAGGUUCUCUAAUGUUGGGUACAUAUAUAUUUAAAGUUGUUAUAUUCUCUUGUUGAAUUUGCCACUUUAUUAUUGUAUAGUGACAUUUUUCUCUUAUAGUUUUGUCUCAAAAUCUAUUUUAUCUAAGAUAAUUAUAGCUACUCAUGUUCUUUUUUUUAGCUAUGAAAUAUCUUUUUCCAUCCCUUUAUUUUUAGUCUAUGUGUGUCUUGAUGGGUGAAAUGUAUUUCUUGAUGGCAACAGAUCAAUGGGUCUUGUUUUUUCAUUCAUUCAGUCUUUUUUUUCAUUCAGUCUAUGUCUUUUGAUUAAAGGAUUUAAUCCACUUACAUUCAAUGUUAUUAUUGAUAAGUAAGGACUUACUUCUGCCAUUUUUUAAAUGUGUUUUCUGGUUUUUUUGUGGUGUAUUCUUCUUUCUUUCCUUCCUGUAGGUGUGCUUUAUUGUUCAUUCUUUUUUCCUUUUUUCUCCCCUGUGUGUUUUCAAAUAAAUUGUCUUCAGGCUCACUAAUUCUUCUUUCUGCUUGAUCAAUUCUGCUACUAAAGGACUCUAGUACAUUCUUCAGUGUGCCAAUUGCAUUUUUCAGCUCCAGAACUUCUGCUUGAUUCUUUCAAAUUAUUUUAAUCUCUGUUAAAUUUUUCUGAUAGAAUUCUUAAUUCCUUCUUUGUGUUAUCUUGAAUUUAUUUGAGUGUCCUUAAAAAGGCCAUUAUGAAUCCUGUGUCUAAAAGGUCACAUAUCUCUGUUUCUCCAGUAUUCAUUCCUGGUGACUUAUUUAGUUCAUUUGGUGAUGUCAUGCUUUCCUGGAAUGCCUUGAUACCUGCAGAGGUUUCUCUGUGUCUGAGUAUUGAAGAGUUAUGUAUUCAUUGUAGUCUUCUCAGUCUGGAAUUGUUUGUACCCUUCCUUAUUGGGCAGGUUUUCAAAAUAUUUGAAAGGACUUGGGUGUUAUGAUCUAAACUUUAUCUGUUUUAUGGGGGCAUUCCAAGCCAGUAAUGCUGUAGUUCUUGCAGACUCAUAGAGAUAUUGCUUUAAUGGUCUUAUACAAGAUUCAGCAGGAUUCUCUGGAUUACCAGGCAGAGACUCCUAUUCUCUUCCCUUUCUUCCUAACAGAGUAUGUCUCCCUGUUCUGAGCCGUCUAAAGCUGGAGAUGGAAUGACACAAGCCACCAUCACUAUGACUGCACUGAGUCAGACCUGAAGCCAGCACAACACUGGUUCUCCCCCAAGGCCACCUGUAUCCAUUUCCUGUGUACUGCCUUUGUUUGCUCAAGGUUCUGGGGUUAUACAAUCAGCAGGUGGCAGAGUCAGCCAGGCAUCUGUUCUUCCAUUAAAGGUGGUGACUUUCCCCAGGCCUAAGGUGGGUCCAGAGAUGCUGUCCGAGAAUCCAGUGCUGAAAUCGGGGACCCCCCCCCCCCCACACCCCCAGGAGCCUGCUUGGUGCUCUACCCUGCCGUGGUUGAGUUAGUACCUGAGGUGCAAGACAAAGUCUCCUUUACUUUUUCCUCUGCUUUUCUCAAGUAGAAGGAAUUUCAUCCCUUCACCACCACUGCUGGUAAUAUGUUGAAUCUCACCUAAAGCCAGUAAGCCUCAGAGGCUCACCCAAGGCCCUUGACAGUAUCUGGGUGUAGAUCUGGUUGUUCAGGGCCCAACGGUUCUUCAGUUAGGUGAUAAAUGUUGUCAGGACUUGUUUCUUGACUUCAAGGCAGAGGAUUUAUUUUCUGGCUCAGGCCGUGUCUAGAAAUGUGGUCUGGGAGCUAAGGCCUGUAUCAAAGGACUUACAACUCUAACUAGUGCCCCAUCCUGCUGUGGCUGAGCUAGCAUCCAAAAUGCAAGACAAAGUCACCCACACUCUUCCUCUCUUCUCUUCAAGUGGAAGGAUGGGGACUAUUUUCGAGCUGUGAGCUGUGCAUCCUGGGGUUAGAGAAGGGGUGAUGUCAACGCUCUCUUGGCUGUCCCAGCUGAUGUCUCAGUACGUCAUGUGCCCCCAAAGUCCAUCGUCUUCUGGGCCCAGUUAAGCCCUAGAACUCACCUAAGACUUUCAGUCCUUAUGGCCUAGGCUACCUUUCAAGUUUAUUUGGAGACACAGAGCACUUUGGCCUUAAGUGCCAAGGUUUGCAGGAACUCAAAUUGGGACCGCUGGGAUUGGCAAUUCCUCUCUGGCUAGUGCUGGUUAAAUGUUCCCUUCCUGGGUGAGUGUCAGCUGAGUUUGGUCCAGUUUCCCUUUCUGCUCUAACAGGACAGCACUGAGGCCAAUGCCUCACAAUUGCUGUGCUUCCCCAGCACCCAGAGAUGCUGUCUGCACCAUGCCACUGCUCCCAGGGUUGUGGUGUGGGGGGCUGGCAUUGGAGAUUCAAGAUUGUUUUUUCUGUCUCUUCAGUGUGUUUUUCAUCAUUACAUAGUUAAAACCAAGUACUAUGAGGGCUCACCUGAUUUUUGGUUCUUAUAAAGGUAUUUUUUUCCUUCUGUGUCGAUAGUUAAAUUGGUGUCCUUAUGGGGGAACAGUUGGUGGAACUUUCUAUUCUGCCAUCUUACUCUGCCUCUCUUCCUGACUGCCUUUUCACCCCAUUUGUUUGGGGCACCUUUUCUUGUUUCUUUACAUGUCUGUAUUUUUUUUGUUCUUAUAACUAGGCAUAUGUCUAGUUACACAUAAUGUAUUGUUGCAACUCUGGAUUCUGAUUUUUUUUGUUGUUGUAGAUUGUUGUUGCUGGUGUCUGUGUUUAGUAAUUUUCCAGGACCAAACAUGUGGAGUCUUUUUUCGUUUUCUUUCUUUCUUUCUUUCUUUUUUCUUUUUCUUUUUUUUGACAGAAUGCAUUCUCUGAUGUUUCUACUCAGUUUUUCUUUUCUUUUUUUUUUUAAAUAAUCUUUUUAGCAUUCUUAACGGUAGCCUCUUAGGGGUUCACCCUUGUGACAGCAUAGCUUAGUGGUUAGCCAAUGAUUGUUCAGGAAACAUGCUCAACUACCUUGACCCAGUAAUAUUUUCACCCUCUUUGCAUUGACUUGACUGUAUGUUUGGGAACAUAUUCAAAAUUCAGGCAGUUCACAAGUCAGUUUCAGCUUUUGCUUUCUUUUAGGACCUCUCACAUUUCUUCUGUGCAUUCACAAGAUUUCAUAUUCAGUCAGGGAUGAAUGGAUGGCUAGGGCCCUUUCUGGUUUCUCCUACACAUGUGCAUCUGUGCAGCCUUCCAAAUUUCCAGAGACAGAGAGGAACUUAUCAAGUCCCAAUAAUAUCAUCUCAUUCCCCACUCUUCUUGUUCAUUUUCUAGCUAGUUUGCCACUUUGUUGCUUGCUCUGGCUAGGACCUCAAGCUUAGGAUAGCUAUGUGGUUGACCUUCCCUAUUUGUUUGCCACAGAGAUUGCGACUAUUUUCAAUAAUGCCCCCGGACAUAGAGUUGCUUGGUGCUCCACUUCAAACUAAGUGAUCCCCCCUCCAACAGCAAAGCUGCUAUUUUUCACAGCUUGUCCUACCUUCAAGUAUCUACCAUGCUAACAAAGCUGGAAGGUAGUGGGGGAAGGGAGCAGCUCCCGAUAUAAAUGCCCCAGACUCCCACUGUCCUUCCUGGAGGCUUUUCCUGAAUAAAUUCAUCUCAAUUUGUUGCAUGAUUUUGGACAAUUUAUGGAGUCUUCAAAUAGUUGUUUUUGACAAUUUUCUUUAGAUUUGUGGUCACUUUUUAAAAAUUAUACUUUAAGUUAUAGGGUACAUUUGCACAAUGUGCAGGUUUGUUACAUAUGUAUACAUGUGCCAUGCUGGUGUGCUGCAUCCAUUAACUCCUCAUUUAACAUUAGGUAUAUCUCCUAAUGCUAUCCCUUCCCCCUCCCCCCACCCCACAACAGGUCCUGCUGUGUGAUGUUCCCCUUCCUGUGUCCACGUGUUCUCAUUGUUCAAUUCCCACCU
rnacentral:lncRNA from 10 species